rnacentral:misc_RNA from 1 species
UGGCUUAAUCUUUGAGACAAGCAUAUGACUACUGGCAGGAUCAACCAGGUAGCAUUCCUCUUCGACGUAGCCCACCAUGCAAGGACAAGCCGUAACAUGGCAGGCAAUCGUUUAGGAGAAGCGAGAACGCUUAACAAGGGCAUAACGAAGAUCUUAUAAAGACCCAAGCCCAAAUGAGCUUCCGUAUACAAGAGACCAAACGAUGCUUCAUAGGCCACAUCAUYGUUGCAAACGCAACAGCACGGUGGAUCAUAAAGAUCGCUUCAUUGCUCAUCCCAUGCCGAAAGAACGACGCAAGACGAAAAUGAAAAUCGUAAAACCCACACUUUUCCAUCAACUAGGUAUGCAACACAGGAAACCCACAAUACGGACAAGCCAAACAAAGCCUUGCCGCAAAACUGAAGAGGUAUGCAGCGUGAACGUUGUUGCGCAAGCAAACAGCCAUCCACACGUAACAAACCAAACACCACUCAUGCACCUCCACGGUCGACAUUCCCGAAAGCCGCCCGACAAGUAGCAACAAGCCAAGCCAAAAGGCCAAGCAAGCCACCAAAAGCCAAAACAGCCCCCAGAAUGCACC